rnacentral:rRNA from 1 species
AUUGAACGCUGGCGGCAGGCCUAACACAUGCAAGUCGAACGAGUGGCGGACGGGUGAGUAAUGUCUGGGAAACUGCCUGAUGGAGGGGGAUAACUACUGGAAACGGUAGCUAAUACCGCAUACCAUCGGAUGUGCCCAGAUGGGAUUAGCUAGUGGGUGGGGUAAAGGCUCACCUAGGCGACGAUCCCUAGCUGGUCUGAGAGGAUGACCAGCAAAACUGGAACGUAGAAACGGUCCGAACUCCUACGGGGGGCAGCAGGAGGGAAGCUUCGGCAAUGGGCGAAAGCCUGAUCCAGCCAUGCCGCGUGUGUGAAGAAGGUCUUCGGAUUGUAAAGCACGUUAAGUUGGGAGGCGUUACCAACAGAAUAAGCACCGGCUAACUUCGUGCCAGCAGCCGCGGUAAUAC